UACGUAGGUGGCAAGCGUUGUCCGGAUUUAUUGGGUUUAAAGGGCGCGUAGGCGGCUUUGUAAGUCAGUGGUGAAAUAUGGCAGCUCAACUGUCAAGGUGCCAUUGAUACUGCAGAGCUUGAGUACAGAUGAGGUAGGCGGAAUUGACGGUGUAGCGGUGAAAUGCUUAGAUAUCGUCAAGAACACCUAUAGCGAAGGCAGCUUACUAGGCUGUAACUGACGCUGAGGCACGAAAGUGUGGGGAUCAAACAGG
rnacentral:rRNA from 1 species